ACGAAGAAAACCAAUGUAAAGGGAAAACGUAAAGAGGUUCAAUAUCUUUAAUAACAAGAAUAUUUGUCACAUACAUGUUUAUUUGGGUUGAUUUAUUUAUGCAAAUAUUGUGCUGAUAUAGAGUUUUUACUUGUUACUUGAUUAUUAGCGAGAUGGAGGAGAUACGCCAGGCCAAAACACAUGUAGGAAUUUAUUUGGCCCAUCCGAGAUAGAUCUUGCUGCUGAAGGAAACGUGAAGACUGUUCCAGUCAGCUCAGCUUUUGACAUUAGUGGAUUCAAAAUAUGGUUGGGAGUCAAGAAAGUAUGCAAUUUGGAGUGAAUGGAUCACAACCUUUACCCAAAUGAUAUGGUUGAAUUUUAAUUUCUGCUUA